rnacentral:rRNA from 1 species
AUUGAACGCUGGCGGAAUGCUUUACACAUGCAAGUCGAACGGCAGCACGGGGGCAACCCUGGUGGCGAGUGGCGAACGGGUGAGUAAUACAUCGGAACAUGCCCAGUCGUGGGGGAUAACGUAGCGAAAGCUACGCUAAUACCGCAUACGAUCUACGGAUGAAAGCGGGGGAUCGCAAGACCUCGCGCGAUUGGAGCGGCCGAUGGCAGAUUAGGUAGUUGGUGGGGUAAAGGCUCACCAAGCCUUCGAUCUGUAGCUGGUCUGAGAGGACGACCAGCCACACUGGGACUGAGACACGGCCCAGACUCCUACGGGAGGCAGCAGGGGGGAAUUUUGGACAAUGGGCGAAAGCCUGAUCCAGCCAUUCCGCGUGCAGGAUGAAGGCCCUCGGGUUGUAAACUGCUUUUGUACGGACGAAACGGCCUUUUCUAAUACAGAGGGCUAAUGACGGUACCGUAAGAAUAAGCACCGGCUAACUACGUGCCAGCAGCCGC